GUCAGGAUGGCUGAGUGGUGGAAGGCACCAGAUUCAAGGUUGAUAUUUUCCAGAUUCAAGGGUUCCUCCUUCCUGAGCAAAGGCACUUCUUCUCUCCAAAUGGAGGCAUGGGUUCAAAUCCCACUCCUGAGA